AAAACAUAUUUAAUAGAAAUAAUUAUUAAUAUUACCUGCUCAAUGAUAUUAAAUAGCCGCAGCUCACACUGUGCUAAGGUAGCAUAAUCAUUUGUCUUUUAAUUGAAGACUAGAAUGAAAGGUUCUACAUUUAAAUUUUUUUAAAAAUAUUCUUUAUCAAAUUUAUUUUAAAUGUAAAAAAACAUUUAUUUUUAGAAAGACGACAAGACCCUAUUGAACUUUACUGAAGUUUAACUGGGGUAGUUAAUUAAUUAAUAUUUUAAUUACUUUUUUUAUAAAAAUGACCCAAUCUUAUUGAUUGAAUGAUCAAGUUACCGUAGGGAUAACAGCGUAAUAUUUUUUAAUAGCUCGUAUUAAAAAUAAUGUUUACGACCUCGAUGUUGAAUUAAUUUUUCUAAUAAGUGCAUCAACUUAAAAAGAAAGUCUGUUCGACUUUUAAAUAAUUACA
rnacentral:rRNA from 1 species